rnacentral:rRNA from 1 species
UUUUGCCUACGGGGGGCAGCAGUGGGGAAUCUUGCACAAUGGGCGAAAGCCUGAUGCAGCAACGCCGCGUGAGCGAAGAAGGCCUUUGGGUCGUAAAGCUCUGUCCUAAGGGAAGAAGGAAGUGACGGUACCUUAGGAGGAAGCCCCGGCUAACUACGUGCCAGCAGCCGCGGUAAUACGUAGGGGGCAAGCGUUAUCCGGAAUUAUUGGGCGUAAAGAGUACGUAGGCGGUUCUUUAAGCGCAGGGUUUAAGGCGAUAGCUUAACUAUCGUUCGCCCUGUGAACUGGGGGA